rnacentral:rRNA from 1 species
UACAGAGGUCUCAAGCGUUGUUCGGAUUCAUUGGGCGUAAAGGGCGCGUAGGCGGCGGGGUAAGUCGGGUGUGAAAUCUCAGAGCUCAACUCUGAAAUGGCACUUGAUACUGCUCUGCUAGAGGACUGGAGAGGAGAUUGGAAUUCACGGUGUAGCAGUGAAAUGCGUAGAUAUCGUGAGGAAGACCAGUGGCGGAAGGCGGGUCUCUGGGCCGAUACUGGACGCUGAGGAGCGAAAGCGUGGGGAGCGAACAGG